AUUUUAUAGGACAGAGUACAGAUAUAGCUGUUCCUCGUAUUUCCAUCUCCAAUUUAUCCCCAAUUCGAUUUCGAUCCCAUCUUGUGUGAUUCUCCAUCCGUGGGUCUUGACUCUUGACACCCUCCCCGUGCCGCACUGCAACGGCCGGUUUCUGCGCCACCCCAGACUAGAGCCCUAGACCGCAUCGCCAUGGAGAAUCGAAGAGGGAAGAAGUUCCUGUUCCCAAUCCAUCCGUCCGGAUGGUCGACAUGAGCUCAGGUCCAACCCUUUACUCGAGAUUAUUCAUUCUUGAUUCGAUGUAUUAGAAUUUCCAGACAAAAGAUGAAAGGAGUAUUAGCAACUUAUUGCCGGACCAAAUCCAUGGAUGGAAGGAUCCGUCGUGGCUUCCACGGGUUCACAGGCUAGGGACCUUCCAAAUGGUGUGAAUGACGAGAAUUGCAGUCACUGCACUUUCACAGCAAGAUGUUGUUCAAGGGACUUCCUUUGCAUGAGAAUUGGCAUUGUUAUCAGGGAAACAAUUGCCGUUUGAGGUCAAGCUAUUUAGUCAGCAAGGAAAAUGUAAGAUUGGAAGUUCACUGAGCGAAAGGAAAGGAAGAGAUGGGUAGUAGAAGACAAAAGAAAUUAGUGUAAAAUUUUACACAAAGCAUCUCAUGUUUCAGGAUAUCAAAGAUGGAUAACCUGUACUGGCCAUAAUCUGUGCUCAACUUAGGACUGGACUAAUAUAAAAUGCAAAAAUAUAUCACACAAAUUAUUGUCGCUGGUGUUUCUUUGACGAACAUAACUUCUGGUGUUACAUAAUUCUAAAGUACAGCACUUAGAUGCUCAUUUUGGGAGCUAAAACAGUUUUGCAAAUUCACCAUUAUUCCAUUGCUUUUCUAGCAGCUACUUCAAAUCAUAAUUUUCCGGUAGUGCUAGGAACGGCUUGAAGGUCAGGAUGAGCCCAAUAAAUUCAACAACAUUCAGAAUAAAGAAUAUGAUUUGAUCCCCUGCAUGAUUAAUGAAAUAAAUCUUCUGUUAUUAUUUGCUAGCACACAUACGUGUAGUACAGUUGUGCCACACAAGAUCAAAUAAAAAAACAUAGAGUUGGUAAAAGAAGAAAUAUAACUUAUAUUUAUAGACAUACCUGGAAGGAAGGAAGCAUCUUGACGCUUUUGAGCCCAUGAGAACCUACAUUCAGAAAACUCACAAAUAAGAUUUGUCUUAAAUAUAUGCACCACUUGCAUCUAAACCUAAUACCAACUUGUGGUACUAAAAAAGGUACUACCACACUUACAGAUGACAUAUAUCAUUUUUAUUAUGCAUAACAUUUUAUAUUGUAAUUUUAUCUGUGAACUCAGCAUUCUUAUUAUUUCCAAUUUUUACUAAAUUUAGAUGUCAUGUAUGUGCUAAGCUUAUAGGAGCUCUGCUUCGUAAGGAUACUGUAAUUGUUAGGCUUUACAUGUCAUGUGCAAUUUAUGUUUUUUAACACAUUAAUUCGUAUUCAAAGGAAAUCUGAAUAUCUGACUGAGAUAACUCACAAAGCGCCUGCUCCUGCUGGACCAAUAGCCUUGAAGAAGGACAUUGCAGUUGCAGAUAUGCCAUUUGCAGCACCUCUUUGACUUUGUGGCUGUUUUUUGGAGAUCUUCGAUCUAUUGUCAAGAGAAGCCAAACUUAAAUAACAUACGGGAAGAGUGGAGUCGAAGGUCAGACUCAGUUUCAGUGAACUGCUGCUCUGAUAUGCAAAAAAUACCAAGCAUUUAUAUUGUAUUUUUGACAAAUUCAUACUUGUAUAUUGGAUUCGAAAAUUUAUAGUGUCUAACAACAGGUACGAAGCGUUUAUAUUGUACUUUUGACAAAUUCAAACUUGUAUAUUGGAUUCGAAAAAUUAUAGUGUCUAACAGCAGGUGCCAGCAGACACGUGGUUGGACACAAGACCGCUUAGCAAACAAUUCCCCUCAUUGUAUAAUAUAGUAAGGAGGAAGUAAGACAUUAUAGCAAACGUAAUGAGUUCAAUAUCUCUAAAUAUUUCUUUCCACAGAUCUAUUGUUAGUGACAGAUUAAUUGCUUGGUAUAUGUUAGUGGCUAAAAUAAUUAUUGUUGAAUUAACAAACGAAGCAGAUAAGUUUCGAUGGGGCCUACCGCCUACAUGCCAAUGGCCUUUUUCGGUACAAUCAAUGUACAAUAGGAUGAUUCAUCGACCCGUUUUCUUUCAGUCACAUUGGCUUUGGAAGCUUAAGAUACCGCUCAAAAUUAAAAUUUUCUUGUGGUAUUUAGCUAGAGGAGUACUUUUGAACAAAGAUAAUCUAAUCAAAAGAAAAUAGGAUGGGAACCUCAAAUGCUGCUUCUGUAACCGCAAUGAGAGCAUUGAACACUUAUUUUUCAAGUGUCACUUUGCUAAGUCGAUUUGAAGAAUUGUUCAGAUUGCUUUAUGCAUUAUCAUGCCAAAGAACGUGAAUCAUAUU